UGCAACAAAUCAUUGUUUUGGCCUUCACAUUGGCCAAAUUUUACACAGUGGAUGAAAGCAGGAUCUUCAAGUGAUAAGUAAUUAAUAAGGAUGGUGGAGAAGAAUAACACAGAGGAUGAAAACGCAUCUGUUGUUCUGCUCACUAUUCAGAAAGAUCCUUUGACUGACAGCCCUAACUGUACAUCAACACUCUCUACAGCUGAGAUUAACAUUAGCUCACAUACAAGUGCUGGUCAUAUAAUUAGAAUAAUCAUCAUAAAGUUUAUUUAUUUCACUUAUUCCAUUUCAAAAGUGAAACUUGUAUUUAUUCAUCACACAGACAGAUAUAUUUCAAAUAUAUAGCAUGUAAAAAAUUGCCACUUUGUUUUGGGUGUGUCCUUUAACAUGCAAAUGAGCUGAUCUUAGCACUAAAUGGCAGUGGUGUGGUUGGAUAGUGCAGAUUAAGGGGCGGUUUUAACCCCUUCUGACAUCACCAGAGGACCAAAAUUUCAAUGAGCUAUUUUUUCACAUGCUUGUGGAGAAUGGUUUAUCAAAAGUUACUGGGUUGAUCUUAUUCACAUUUUCUAGGUUGAUAAAAGCACUGGGGACCCAAUUAUAGCACUUAAACAUGGAAGAAGUUAAAUUUUCAUCGUAUGUCUCCUAUAACAUAUAUUUUACUUUAAUAAAAAAAUAAGACUUUAAAUUAUACUUAUACUUAACUUUCUGAUGUAAAUUGUCUGUAUCGAACACAGACAAAUAUAUUUAAGUGACCAGCUUUUAAAAUAAACGGCAGGGAUAUUUCGUUCAAUGGUCAAAAUAUCAUUGAAAUCUUGUAAUUAUUCAUGAAAUAAAAAAUAGGGACAAAACCUUUUUGAAUGUGUUUAUUUAUUUUUAUUUUUGUGGGUUUGUGGAGAAUAGAACACCAGAAAACGUGACUAUCCCGUUAUAAUAUUAUAAUAAUAUAAUAUUAAAACAUAUAUAUAUAUAUAUAUAUAUAUAU